AUGGAUGGAUAUAUUUCAGAUAUAACUAAACAGCCAAAUAUACAGAAAUCACUGAUAUGCUAAACUAGAAUGUAGACAGCUACAGUCACCAAACGUAAUCCAUACGUAUAAUAAUUUACUAACUGUCAAAAUUAUGAAGCCCAAUGGAUGGAUGGGCGGGUGGAUGGAUGGUGUUUCAGAGAUUGUGUCUACCUUAGGUUCAAAAGCAGUAUUUUGGCAUCCCGAGACCUGCAGUUCAACAAUUUGUGAAGACAUGCGUUAUCUGCGCAUGUAAAACGCCACAAAUGUCAGUAGCUACUGUCAAGCCGAUUAUUUCACCAGGUUUCAUGCGAAGAGGCCAGAUAGAUCUUAUUGAUAUGACAGUAGACCCUGAUGGAGACUUCAAAUAUAUCAGUCAUUAUAUUGACCAUUUUACCAAAUUCAAUUUCCUGUGGCCUCAGCAUAGGAAGAAGUCAGUGGAAGUGGCCAGAUGUCUUAUUAAAAAUGUCUUCAGUGUUGUUGGUCUCCCACUUAUAUUACAGCAUGACAAUGGGAAAGAAUUUUGCAAUAAGAUCAUUCGAAAAGUUGUUAGAUUAUGGCCAGGAGAUUGCAAAAUUGUGACAGGUCGUCCACGCCAUCCUCAAUCUCAAGGCCUUGUCGAACAGGCCCAUAGAACUGUACAACAUAUGCUUGCUGUUCGUCGUGCAGAGUAUCCAGGAACGGGAUGGACCAAAUAUCUUUCCUUAGUGCAAUAUGCUAUGAACACACAAAUCCAUAGUGCAAUCAAUGUGGCGCCUUAUGACGUUGUUUUUGGACAGCCCCCAACAGAUGGUGUGUUUCCUGGUUGCCAUAAAGAUGUUCAACCUGAAGAAGAGGAUUUGCUGAAGGUUCUAAAAGAUAUUCCUACAUUGACUGACGAAUAUGGCAACGAUUCCCCUGAUGAAGGAGAUGGUCAUGUGGAGGAUCACACAGUUUCUACAUCUAUAAAUCACUGAAAGAGCUUGCCAAAUUGUCAAUAGUACCAUUAGUUCUCUUCCAGACAACCACAAUGACAAAGACAAUGAUGGUAUAGAAACGUUGUUAGAAGAUAUCCCUACAUUGGAUAAACAUGAUGGCAAUGAUUCUUCUGAUAAAGGAGA